AAUAUUUAACCCUAAAUUCGCAAGCCUCUCAGCUGAUUCGCAAGCCUUUGGAUAUUUAACUCUACACACGCGAAUUGUUUUAAUCUAGGGGAUUUCUAAGAUUUUAUACCUUUUUCACUUUCAAAUAUUCCUUAUUACUAUUUAGCACUUGGAAAAUGACCGAAGCCCAUCGUAACUAGGCCGCGUUCCUCCGUGGCGAGUCACAGACGAGCGACACCGCUCGCGACCGUCGCCGCCAGUUGCCGGUGGCCGCCCACUCGCCCACUGCUCGCCGCAUUCCCUGCCGCCCGCCCAGUGCCUCUCUUCUCGGCCAGCCUCCCUCCGCUCGCUCAGGCCCCUUCCGCCCGUCGUCGUUCCCUGACUCGACGGCCUAGGGUCUGGGGCGGCCGUGCUCCUUGCCGCCGCCGCCCCUGCUGGCCUGCCUGACGCCAGCAGGCCGUCCUCCCCCUUCGUCUUGAUGGAUUCUCCUGAGCUCAAUUCGGAUUGAAACAAUUCGCAUGCGCAAGGUUAAAUAUUGAAAGGCUUGCGAAUUGGAUGUCAAAUACUCAGAGGCUUGCGAAUUCAGGGUUAAAUAUUGAAAUUUCUCGUCCACCACCGCCUCCCCUACCACAGCAACCCCACCUCCGGGUCCGGCCCGCGGCAGCGGACCGUGUCCCGCCUCCGCGUCGUCUACCUGUCUCGCUGCCUCCCUACGCAGGCCUUCGCUGGCUACGAGCAGCCACUGGGAUUUGUUAGGUCCGCCCCUGCCAGUCUGCAGAUCAGAGGCCAAAAGAUUGGGAAUCCAGAGAUGCAUUUUUCUAGAGAUGAGCUGAUCGGGUCGACGUUCAUUGCUUUUGGGAUCACAUUGUUCGCGUGUUUCUUCUACGUUGCUAUCGCGUCCAAGCUGCUUCCACCAUAUGAAAAUCAAUUCCUGGCUGCCAUCCAAGAUGAUUGGUAUUACUGUCUACUUGUGCCUUUGACGCUUCCUGUAAUAAUUGUGGCUGUCUAUCUGCACUGGCUUAGCAUGAAGAUGUUCAAGCAUGCAUGAAGAAGUCAUGCAGCUUUCUUCUAAUUUCAGAAUCUCAGAAUCCUGGUGAAAAUCGAGAAUGCGGACAGAUACGAGGAUACUCUGGAGCAUUGUGGUGCUGAACUGCUGAUGCUAAAAAACUGGAUGCUUGUAUGCUCCAAAGCCAAGAUGGAGAUACCAAUUCAGUAUACUGUUACUUUGGAACAAUCUUUUCUGGGCAUUUGUAACGAGCCGCUGAAUUGCAAGAACACCGCACCUGGUCGAUUAUUGGCAUGCCAAAGAAGGCACCUGCGGAGGCGCUAUACAGUUUGGUUACCUGGUUGAGUGGUUUAUGUUUCUAGUGUAGGUGGUGAAUGUAAUAUCUUUUCAUGAUUGGAACAUCUUGCCCGUUAUUUGUGGUGGAAGGUUUCAGGGUUGUCUCCUUUGCUUUCAUCGUGCUUGAUGCUGAGCUCAUGUCUGACGAGAAAUGUAGGGAUUGGUUCGGUCAGUAUGUAUUUUUCUUUGGAAAGGAACAAUAUAUAUUUUUCUGCUAUGGUGAUGGUUGAAUUUAUAUUAGAGGGAGCUACAGAUUCAGUCGGUAUA